rnacentral:rRNA from 1 species
ACUGGGCGUAAAGCGCACGCAGGCGGUCUGUCAAGUCGGAUGUGAAAUCCCCGGGCUCAACCUGGGAUCUGCAUCCGAAACUGGCAGGCUAGAGUCUUGUAGAGGGGGGGUAGAAUUACAGGUGUAGCGGUGAAAUGCGUAGAGAUCUGGAGGAAUACCGGUGGCGAAGGCGGCCCCCUGGACAAAGACUGACGCUCAGGUGCGAAAGCGUGGGGAGCAAACAGGAUUAGAUACCCUGGUAGUCCACGCCGUAAACGAUGUCGACUUGGAGGUUGUGCCCGUGAGGCGUGGCUUCCGGAGCUAACGCGUUAAGUCGACCGCCUGGGGAGUACGGCCGCAAGGUUAAAACUCAAAUGAAUUGACGGGGGCCC